rnacentral:tRNA from 1 species
GCGGGAGUAGCUCAGUGGUUAGAGCGCCUGACUGUGGCUCAGGAGGUCGCGGGUUCGAUCCCCGUUUCCCGCC